AAGUUCAGAUAUAGGAUAUAGGUGGCUAGUGAAAUUUGGAUCGGCAGCAUCCAGAUUGUGUUCAUGUACCAUAUGAAAUCGGCGAUUCUCUUUGUAUCUACACUCAUCAGAUUAAUCAUCCCUCCGCUAUUGUGGCUUUGCCUUGACUGACUCGACAGAUGAAGACCCUUCUUAUAUAUCUGGGAUAUCAGAGCUCCUUUCAGACGCAUACCUAGUUGGCGAGCCCCAAAAAUCCAUUGCCUUUGUGCAGUCACUUCAACCAUUUUGGCACUUAUGAAUGCUAAUGCAAUAAUGUAGCCCGUCUUUAAGCUGUCAUUCUUCUUCUGACUUAAAAAUGCCACAAAGUCAUUGAUCAGGAAGAUAGCCAUGUAAAUGGAUGCGCUGCUGGUGUUUUCUGCCUCCUUGACUUGUUUUGGACUGUUGUUAAAUGAAUGGGAGAGGACUUUGGCAGAGUCCUUGACGUCAAUGCCUGGGAUUUCUUCUUGUUCGAGCGGUUUCUUGUACCCAACUUUGAAUAAUGGAUUAAGCCAGGAGAAAGUGAUGAGUUGGAGAAGAGUAGCACUUUGAUAAGGUAAAAAGCUUCAACAAAGAUAUAGAGGCGUCUUCUACAUUCACAGCAGUGACAUGAAGUCAAAUUACUUCUGUUGCCAGUUUGGGAUUAGAUAGAUAGCUCUAAAGAAGUUAUAAAGCUGUGCAACAGUCUGAGGGUUAAGCAGAAGAACUGAAUUUUUAGCAUGGGUAGGUAAGCAUCUAAACUGGUUGAGAUCCAUGGUUGUACAUAUGACCGCAGUGGCGAAGUCUAACUUGUUUUGUACAUUAGCGUCUAAUAUGAAAUAAGGCAGUUUACUAUCA